UACGUAAGGACCGAGCGUUGUCCGGAAUCAUUGGGCGUAAAGGGUACGUAGGCGGUUAGUAAAGUUAAAAGUGAAAGGGUAUAGCUCAACUAUAUAAAGCUUUUAAAACUGGUUAGCUUGAGAGAUGGAAGGGAGAGUGGAAUUCCUAGUGUAGCGGUGAAAUGCGCAGAUAUUUGGAGGAAUACCGGUGGCGAAGGCGACUUUCUGGCCAUAAUCUGACGCUGAGGUACGAAAGCGUGGGUAGCAAAGAGG
rnacentral:rRNA from 1 species